rnacentral:misc_RNA from 1 species
GAUGAAGAACGUAGCGAAAUGCGAAAAGUAGUGUGAAUUGCAGAAUUCAGUGAAUCAUCGAAUCUUUGAACGCACAUUGCGCCCCUUGGUAUUCCAUGGGGCAUGCCUGUUCGAGCGUCAUUGCUGCCCUCAAGCACGGCUUGUGUGUUGGGCCUCCGUCCUCCUCCCGGGGGACGGGCCCGAAAGGCAGCGGCGGCACCGCGUCCGGUCCUCGAGCGUAUGGGGCUUCGUCACCCGCUCUUGUAGGCCCGGCCGGCGCUUGCCGACACAUCAAUCUUUUUUCCAGGUUGACCUCGGAUCAGGUAGGGAUACCCGCUGAACUUAAGCAUAUCAAUAAGCGGAGGA